GUGCAGUGAUGUAUUUGUCAACACAUCAUUCUGAAAAUAUGUGAUGACAUCUCAAGACUGAGCACA